rnacentral:miRNA from 1 species
AACACUGGCCUUGCUAUCCCCA